rnacentral:rRNA from 1 species
GGAAUAAUUAACAUAAGAUGGGAUGGCGGCUGAUUAGAUUGAUGGUGAGGUAACGGCUCACCAUGUCUAUGAUCAGUAGGGGUUGUGAGAGCAAUAACCUCCAGAAGGACACUGAGAUAAGGGUCCUAGCUCUAAGGAGUGCAGCAGGUGCGAAAACUCUACAAUGCACGAAAGUGUGAUAGGGUAACUCCCUGUGCUUACCUCACGGUAAGCUUUUAUUAAGUUUAGUGCACUUAAUGAAUAAGUGGUGGGCAAGACCGGUGCCAGCAGCCGCGGUUAUACCGGCGCCACAAGUGGAAAUCGCCAUUAUUGGGUCUAAAGCGUUCGUAGCUGGUUUUUUAAGUCUUUUGUUAAAUCUCUAAAUUCGACUUAGGGACCGCAAAAGAUACUGAAAAACUUGAGACCGGGAGAGGUAUGGAGUAUUAAAGGGGUAGCGGUAGAAUGCUAUAAUCCCAUUAAGACUAACAAGAGCGAAGGCACCAUACUAGAACGGAUCUGACAGUCAGGAACGAAAGUUGGGGGAGCAAACCGGAUUAGAUACCCGGGUAGUCCCAACUGUAAACGCUGUAGGUUAGGUCUUACUAAUUCCAUGAGUUUUAGUAGGACCAAAGCGAAGGCAUUAAACCUACCACCUGGGAAGUACAGCCGCAAGGCCGAAACUUAAAGGAAUUGCCGGGGGAGUACUACAAGUGGUGCGGCGUGCUGUUUAAUUUAACUAUACACAGAGAAACUCACCAAGGGCGACAGCACAAUGAAGGUCAGUCUAAAGGGCUUACCUGAGGCGCUGAGAGGUGUUGCAUGGCCGCCGUCAGCUCGUGCCGUAAGGUGUCCUCUUAAGUGAGGAAACGAGCAAGACCUAUGCCUAUAAUUGCUAGUCAGGUUUACUGAUGCACUUUAUAGGGACUGCCUUGGAAACAAGGAGGAAGGUGUAGGCAACGGUGGGUCUGUAUUGCCCGAAUCCCUUGGGCUACAAGCGCGCAACAAUGGCAAGUACAAUGGGUCGCAACUCCGAGAGGAGAAGCCAAUCUCGAAAACUUGUCCCAGUUUAGAUUGAGGUUUGUAACUCAGCCUCAUGACAACGGAAUCGCUAGUAAUCAGAUGUUAUCAGCAUCUGGUGAAUAUGUCCAUUCUCCUUGGACACACUGCCCGUCAAACCAACCAAGUAGGACUUAAAUGAGAUUUCCUUUUAUUGGGGACAUCGAAUUUUUGUUCUGUGAGGGGGGUUAAGUCGGCACAAGGUA